rnacentral:rRNA from 1 species
UACAGAGGGGGCAAGCGUUGUUCGGAAUUACUGGGCGUAAAGGGCGCGUAGGUGGCCUUCUAAGUUGAACGUGAAAUCCCUGGGCUCAACCCAGGAACUGCGUCCAAGACUGGGAGGCUUGAAUCCGGGAGAGGGAUGCGGAAUUCCAGGUGUAGCGGUGAAAUGCGUAGAUAUCGGGAGGAACACCAGUGGCGAAGGCGACUUCCUGGCCUGUUCUUGACGCUGAGGCGCGAAAGCUAGGGGAGCAAACGGG